AUUGAACGCUGGCGGCAUGCCUUACACAUGCAAGUCGAACGGCAGCACGGGUGCUUGCCCCUGGUGGCGAGUGGCGAACGGGUGAGUAAUACAUCGGAACAUGUCCUGUAGUGGGGGAUAGCCCGGCGAAAGCCGGAUUAAUACCGCAUACGAUCUACGGAUGAAAGCGGGGGACCUUCGGGCCUCGCGCUAUAGGGUUGGCCGAUGGCGGAUUAGCUAGUUGGUGGGGUAAAGGCCUACCAAGGCGACGAUCAGUAGCUGGUCUGAGAGGACGACCAGCCACACUGGGACUGAGACACGGCCCAGACUCCUACGGGAGGCAGCAGUGGGGAAUUUUGGACAAUGGGCGAAAGCCUGAUCCAGCAAUGCCGCGUGUGUGAAGAAGGCCUUCGGGUUGUAAAGCACUUUUGUCCGGAAAGAAAUCCUUGGCCCUAAUACGGUCGGGGGAUGACGGUACCGGAAGAAUAAGCACCGGCUAACUACGUG
rnacentral:rRNA from 1 species